rnacentral:rRNA from 1 species
CCUACGGGAGGCAGCAGUGGGGGAUAUUGCACAAUGGAGGAAACUCUGAUGCAGCGACGCCGCGUGAGGGAAGACGGUCUUCGGAUUGUAAACCUCUGUCUUCGGGGAAGAAAAUGACGGUACCCAAAGAGGAAGCUCCGGCUAACUACGUGCCAGCAGCCGCGGUAAUACGUAGGGAGCGAGCGUUGUCCGGAUUUACUGGGUGUAAAGGGGGCGUAGGCGGGGGAGAAAGCUGAAUGUUAAAUCUCCCGGCUAAACCGGGAGCUGCGUUGAAAACUUCUUGUCUUGAGGGAAGGAGGGGCAGGCGGAAUUCCUGGUGUAGCGGUGAAAUGCGUAGAUAUCAGGAGGAACACCAGUGGCGAAGGCGGCCUGCUGGGCUUCAACUGACGCUGAGGCUCGAAAGCGUGGGGAGCAAACAGGAUUAGAUACCCCAGUAGUC